rnacentral:rRNA from 2 species
GGCGACAGCUCAAUUUGAAAUCUGGCCCUCGGGUCCGAAUUGUAAUUUGUAGAGGAUGCUUUUGGUGAGGUGCCUUCCGAGUUCCCUGGAACGGGACGCCAUAGAGGGUGAGAGCCCCGUCUGGUUGGACACCGAUCCUCUGUAAAGCUCCUUCGACGAGUCGAGUAGUUUGGGAAUGCUGCUCUAAAUGGGAGGUAUAUGUCUUCUAAAGCUAAAUAUUGGCCAGAGACCGAUAGCGCACAAGUAGAGUGAUCGAAAGAUGAAAAGCACUUUGAAAAGAGAGUUAAAAAGUACGUGAAAUUGUUGAAAGGGAAGCGCUCAUGACCAGACUUGGGCUUGGUUGAUCAUCCAGGGUUCUCCCUGGUGCACUCUUCCAGUCCAGGCCAGCAUCAGUUCGCUGUGGGGGAUAAAGGCUUCGGGAAUGUGGCUCCUUCGGGAGUGUUAUAGCCCGUUGUGUAAUACCCUGUGGUGGACUGAGGUUCGCGCAUCUGCAAGGAUGCUGGCGUAAUGGUCAUCAGCGACCCGUCUUGAAACACGGACCAAGGAGUCGUCUUCGUAUGCGAGUGUUCGGGUGUUAAACCCCUACGCGUAAUGAAAGUGAACGCAGGUGAGAGCUUCGGCGCAUCAUCGACCGAUCCUGAUGUUCUCGGAUGGAUUUGAGUAAGAGCAUACGGGGUCGGACCCGAAAGAAGGUGAACUAUGCCUGUAUAGGG